CUGGCGGCGUGCUUAACACACUGCAAGUCGAACGGCGAAAGGGAACUCGGUCCUGAGUAAAGUGGCGCACGGGUGAGUAACGCGUAGAUAACCUGUCUUCAUGUCUGGAAUAAUACGCCGAAAGGGGUACUAAUACCGGAUAUCUUGCUUUUCAUAAGUUAUGCAAGCAAAGGUGGCCUCUGCAUAUGCUACUGCAUGAAGAGGGGUCUGCGUACCAUUAGCUAGUAGGUGGGGUAAUGGCCUACCUAGGCGACGAUGGUUAGCGGGUCUGAGAGGAUGAUCCGCCACACUGGCACUGGAACACGGGCCAGACUCCUACGGGAGGCAGCAGUGAGGAAUAUUGCGCAAUGGGGGAAACCCUGACGCAGCGACGCCGCGUGAGUGAAGGAAGGCCUUCGGGUCGUAAAGCUCUGUCAAGAGGAAAGAAGUGUACAAUGGCUAAUACCUGUUGUAUUUGACGGUACCUCUAAAGGAAGCACCGGCUAACUCCGUGCCAGCCGCAGC
rnacentral:rRNA from 1 species